AUCCAUAGGUUAAUGAGGCGAACCGGGGGAACUGAAACAUCUAAGUACCCCGAGGAAAAGAAAUCAACCGAGAUUCCCCCAGUAGCGGCGAGCGAACGGGGAGGAGCCCAGAGCCUGAAUCAGUGUGUGUGUUAGUGGAAGCGUCUGGAAAGGCGCGCGAUACAGGGUGACAGCCCCGUACACAAAAAUGCACAUAUUGUGAGCUCGAUGAGUAGGGCGGGACACGUGGUAUCCUGUCUGAAUAUGGGGGGACCAUCCUCCAAGGCUAAAUACUCCUGACUGACCGAUAGUGAACCAGUACCGUGAGGGAAAGGCGAAAAGAACCCCGGCGAGGGGAGUGAAAAAGAACCUGAAACCGUGUACGUACAAGCAGUGGGAGCCUCUUAAUGGGGUGACUGCGUACCUUUUGUAUAAUGGGUCAGCGACUUAUAUUCUGUAGCAAGGUUAACCGAAUAGGGGAGCCGAAGGGAAACCGAGUCUUAACUGGGCGUUAAGUUGCAGGGUAUAGACCCGAAACCCGGUGAUCUAGCCAUGGGCAGGUUGAAGGUUGGGUAACACUAACUGGAGGACCGAACCGACUAAUGUUGAAAAAUUAGCGGAUGACUUGUGGCUGGGGGUGAAAGGCCAAUCAAACCGGGAGAUAGCUGGUUCUCCCCGAAAGCUAUUUAGGUAGCGCCUCGUGAAUUCAUCUCCGGGGGUAGAGCACUGUUUCGGCAAGGGGGUCAUCCCGACUUACCAACCCGAUGCAAACUGCGAAUACCGGAGAAUGUUAUCACGGGAGACACACGGCGGGUGCUAACGUCCGUCGUGAAGAGGGAAACAACCCAGACCGCCAGCUAAGGUCCCAAAGUCAUGGUUAAGUGGGAAACGAUGUGGGAAGGCCCAGACAGCCAGGAUGUUGGCUUAGAAGCAGCCAUCAUUUAAAGAAAGCGUAAUAGCUCACUGGUCGAGUCGGCCUGCGCGGAAGAUGUAACGGGGCUAAACCAUGCACCGAAGCUGCGGCAGCGACACUAUGUGUUGUUGGGUAGGGGAGCGUUCUGUAAGCCUGUGAAGGUGGCCUGUGAGGGUUGCUGGAGGUAUCAGAAGUGCGAAUGCUGACAUAAGUAACGAUAAAGCGGGUGAAAAGCCCGCUCGCCGGAAGACCAAGGGUUCCUGUCCAACGUUAAUCGGGGCAGGGUGAGUCGACCCCUAAGGCGAGGCCGAAAGGCGUAGUCGAUGGGAAACAGGUUAAUAUUCCUGUACUUGGUGUUACUGCGAAGGGGGGACGGAGAAGGCUAUGUUGGCCGGGCGACGGUUGUCCCGGUUUAAGCGUGUAGGCUGGUUUUCCAGGCAAAUCCGGAAAACCAAGGCUGAGGCGUGAUGACGAGGCACUACGGUGCUGAAGCGACAAAUGCCCUGCUUCCAGGAAAAGCCUCUAAGCAUCAGGUAACAUCAAAUCGUACCCCAAACCGACACAGGUGGUCAGGUAGAGAAUACCAAGGCGCUUGAGAGAACUCGGGUGAAGGAACUAGGCAAAAUGGUGCCGUAACUUCGGGAGAAGGCACGCUGAUAUGUAGGUGAAGCGACUUGCUCGUGGAGCUGAAAUCAGUCGAAGAUACCAGCUGGCUGCAACUGUUUAUUAAAAACACAGCACUGUGCAAACACGAAAGUGGACGUAUACGGUGUGACGCCUGCCCGGUGCCGGAAGGUUAAUUGAUGGGGUUAGCGGUAACGCGAAGCUCUUGAUCGAAGCCCCGGUAAACGGCGGCCGUAACUAUAACGGUCCUAAGGUAGCGAAAUUCCUUGUCGGGUAAGUUCCGACCUGCACGAAUGGCGUAAUGAUGGCCAGGCUGUCUCCACCCGAGACUCAGUGAAAUUGAACUCGCUGUGAAGAUGCAGUGUACCCGCGGCAAGACGGAAAGACCCCGUGAACCUUUACUAUAGCUUGACACUGAACAUUGAGCCUUGAUGUGUAGGAUAGGUGGGAGGCUUUGAAGUGUGGACGCCAGUCUGCAUGGAGCCGACCUUGAAAUACCACCCUUUAAUGUUUGAUGUUCUAACGUUGGCCCGUAAUCCGGGUUGCGGACAGUGUCUGGUGGGUAGUUUGACUGGGGCGGUCUCCUCCUAAAGAGUAACGGAG
rnacentral:rRNA from 1 species